AUCGUGAUAGCUUUGUUGGUAGAGCAUCUGCCCGGUAAGCAGAGUGUUACCGGUUCGAUUCCGGCUCGUGAAG
rnacentral:tRNA from 1 species